CGUAGCUGAAGUCUAGAAAUACGUGAACUUAUACGAUUCAUCACACAGAGAUCACCGUGGUAACCGGGUUAUGAAGUAUUCAUGGUGUGAAAUAAAACUAACUGCUGAAAUGCUUUUAUUCGGUAAAAUGCCGUGUUGUAAGUGGUGUAAACCAUGGCAAACUUCUUCUUCUCUAGUUUAGUACCAGAGUAGACCAGGUAGAUGUGUGUUUGAGCUACACUGCCCCCUGCAGUUUGGAAGCAGACUUCUUCUCUAGUUUAUUACUAGAGUAGACCAGGUAGACGUGUGUUUGCGAUACACUGCCCCCUGCAGUUUGGGAGCAGACGCGCAAUAUGCACACGUUCUCUCGCACGGAUUUCCGUGCGGCUGAUUUCCGCGUGGCUCGUUCGUGCAGAAAGUAUAUUCCAGCGACGCUGCCCCAGACUGCCUGCUUCAGAGCCUGUCUGCCGUCCUCCCCGUUUGGACUUGUUGAUUCCUUGGUCUGGAUCAUUGGGAACAUCUAGUCUGAUGGACUGAGAGCUCCAGAGAACAUGGACAUCCAGCUGUGGUUGUCUGAGAUGAAGAGUCUUCUCUCCUUCAUCACUGUGAGGAAGAGCAGCACUGAUGUCCUCCUCAUCCUUACAGCAAUAACAAUAAUGCUGCAGAUUCAGCUCCUCUCUUCAUAAUACAACUUGUCUUGUGACUGUUCAGUGUUUACACUUCACUGUCAGCAACACAUUAUUUCAUUCAUUUCAUGUGUUUACACAUCUUUACAGUUCACAAUUGUUAAAUAAUGCAGUUUUUAAAUGUGCAAUAAAGGGAAUAAUGAAGCUCUUGA